rnacentral:rRNA from 1 species
AAUUCCUUGUCGGGUAAGUUCCGACCUGCACGAAUCGUGAAACGAGUUGGGCACUGUCUCAACCAGGCGCUCAGUGAAAUUGUAGUGGCGGUGAAGAUGCCGCCUACCCGCAGAAGGACGGAAAGACCCUAUAGACCUUAACUGUAAGCUGUCAUUGUUUCUUCGGUUUUAAUGCUCAGAGUAAGUGGGAGACGCUGAAGAUGCCCUUUAGGGGGCAUCCGAGUCAUCAAUGAGACACCACCCUUUGAAACUGGAGGAUCUAACCCUGAGCCGUGAAUCCGGCCAGAGGACCGUGUCAGCCGGUCAGUUUUACUGGGGCGGUAUCCUCCCAAAGAGUAACGGAGGAGCGCGAAGGUGGGCUCAGCCCGGUUGGCAACCGGGUGUCGAGUGCAUGGGCAUAAGCCCGCCUAACUGUGAGACCAACAAGUCGAGCAGAUGCGAAAGCAGGCCCAAGUGAUCCGGCGGUAGAAAGUGGAAUUGCCGUCGCUCAACGGAUAAAAGGUACCUUAGGGAUAACAGGCUGAUCACGCCCAAGAGUUCAUAUCGACGGCGUGGUUUGGCACCUCGAUGUCGGCUCGUCGCAUCCUGGGGCUGGAGAAGGUCCCAAGGGUCCGGCUGUUCGCCGGUUAAAGCGGCACGCGAGCUGGGUUCAGAACGUCGCGAGACAGUUCGGUCCUCUAUCCUCUGUGGGCGUUGGAAAAUUGAGGGGUUCAGACCUUAGUACGAGAGGACCGGGUCUGACGCACCACUGGUGCAUCGGUUGUACUGUCAAGUGCAUGGCCGAGUAGCUAAGUGCGGAAGGGAUAAGCGCUGAAAGCAUCUAAGCGCCAAGCCCAUCCCAAGAUGAGUUUUCCCUAUAGGUUCGUGGAAGACCACCACGUCGAUAGGUCGCAGGUGUAAGUGCAGCAAUGUAUUGAGCCAAGCGAUACUAAUCACCGAUAGACUUCAUCAU